CGUCACACAAUCCCUAGCCUCCUCACCUCUCAUUGCCUGAUGGGGCUUCCAUGUGGCGGCGGCGUCCACCGCCGGCAGCGCCUCCUGGAUCUCCUUGCACCAGCACCUGCCCCAUCGCCCGCGACCUAUCCACUCCGACGCGCAGUAAGCGUGCCGCGGCCGCCAGGCUCGGCGCCGCCUUGUCGCCGAGGUUUUGAUCCAUUGUGCCAGACGAGAGACAGAUAGAGUUAGGGAGCGGCCGAGCUCGCCGCGGAGGAAGAGAGAUGACCGUUGUCCCUUGGUCUAGGCCUGCCCAGAAGCACACAUCACGGACGACGAUUGUUGGUCCCACGAUCUCCAUUGAGGCCCAGUGCGUAUCCUGGAAUAUGUGUGACUCGGGUAGGAAGUGCAAUUCGGUAUGAUCCUAGAUCCCUCCCUCUCCCUCCCUCUCCCUCCCUCUCCCACUCUCUCCCUCUCUCUCUCUCUCCUCGCACUUCAAAUGGCUUCCUGCUUAGUAGAUGGAAAGGGGGGUUUAGGUUGGGAGGAAGAAGCUGUAUAGAUCGAAGGGAAAGCAGAACAAAAGGGAGGGGGGACAAAAGACAUUUGUUUGAAUGUCUUCCUAUUUUUGACAGUUUCGGAGUCAUUGACACACCAAGAAUGGUGUUAAUAUCUCCGUUUUGGUGAUGUAAGGGAUGUAGAGCAUCCACAUGAUCUUGGUCGACAAUGGCCUGAAGCCAAAUUUGUUUUUGUUCACAGACAGAUGGCUGUGCGCUGAACUGCCGUGAGUGUGAGGGGGCAAGAUAAUUUCAAAAUUCAGAAUCUUGGUUGGCUGCUCGCGGCGGAGCAUGUGGCCGGUGCUUGCGGUAGUGGCAGAGCAGCGUCGGCGAGAGUGGCGCAAGCAGUGGCCAGAGCUGCAUGGGCCGCUGUAAGCAUGCCAUCCAGCGCAACACUUCAAGUAUGACAAUGUCCACUCUACACCAAGAUAUUAGUCAGUUGGGAGAUGAGGUGGUUUGUCAGAUAAGAAACAGAAUAAGGACAAGAAGGACCGUUAAUUGGACCAUGUCAUUGUGAACUUGGAGCACAGAAUUUUACAGGAGAUGGUCGUCGUAAAACUGGGUGCUUAAGAUCUAGGGAAGUAUAACAUUUUUUCCGAAAGCUUAGUAAAACAAAUUCACUUUGUGGGUCUAAUUUAAUUUUUCUAUGUUCAUAGUUUCUUGCGUCAAUAGAUAGACCAAGCCGAGCAGGGCAUGAACUUCCUACUCAUGCUUUAGUUCAUUUUCUUUGAGUAUUUGUGUUCUUAAUUUUGGUUUUCACUGGUUUGUGCGCUAUCCUUUCAAGCUAGAUUUGAAUUUGUUGUCAUAGAAACAAAUUUUUUAUCGCCUUUAAUAGUAUAUAGAGAUAAUCCAGUUAUGUAUGCAAAAUUAUGCAAGAUCCUUAGUGAGGAUAAUUUUUUUCUGAUUCCCUUAGCAGCCUCUGCAUCCUUCUGCCUUAGCCUGAUCAAUUUUUCCCACUAUGCCGUUUUUUCCAACAUAAUGGAACGAAUGUGUCAAGUAUGCAUCCAUUUAAAAUUUGGUGUCAAUCAGUUUUUGGAGGAUCGCAUCAAUGUUCCUCAUAUUUCUAAUAUUAGGAUAUUAAAAAUCACCUUUUCCCUACGAUGUUUAUCUUUUCGGUCUUUUAGCUAAUGACAAUGUUUCUUGGUGUGCCAGUGCCCAGUUGUGUAUAUUCUUGGACCUUUUACAUUCGAUAUUAACAAUCCAAAACUUAACACGUUUCUAGCCUUCUAGCGGAACUUCCAUUUAAUGUUAUCAAUUUUUUUGCAGCAAACUUCAAAGUUCUUGAUACUUUUGCUUGCACUUAUUUUCCACAGGCUCACAUAUAUUAGUGUUGUGCAGUUUAGAUCUCAAUAUGAUGCCGAUUUCUUUUACGGGUAAGGCAAGAGCUCCGCCUGCUGCUACGAUGAUCGGCCGCUGCCCUACGCUGGCCGAGGCUGCACAUCAUCGCCUACCCCACCAUGCUACACCUUGGGAUUGCUGGCUGCCGAAGUCGACGCCAUCAGUCGCCCCUCAACACUUUUUUCAAAUCAUGGAAAAUCUCUUGGUUUCUUUACCGUGUUGUAAUUUGUUUCUAUGCUUUAAGUUUUAUUGCGUCAUCCCUCCAAGACUUUGUUCUCUAACUACAGUUGCAUUAGCAUGAGGCUCUUCUGUAAUAUGCAACAUACAAAUUGUUCUAGAUCCCACACUUCCUAUUUCCAAUGCAUAGAACCCAAACAUAUGCUUUUCGCAUGUCUCGGGUAUGGAAUUAAUCACUACUGCAAGCUUUGUCUACACUUCAUAAGUUAUAUGGAGCAAGUUGAUCUUUAGCAGAAUAACAUGUGAAAUUCAACUUUUGGAUUUGUUGAAUUAAUAUAAAUGUAGCAUUCUUCCUUCUUGACCAAUAGGAGCUCGAGU